AUGCAGUUGGUCUCGGGAGGCCAUACUGCCAUCUCUGUUAAUGGUCAGGUUAGUAAGUUCUUUCCCAAUGGUAGGGGCCUUCGGCAAGGUGAUCCUGCCUCGCCCAUUUUGUUCAACUUCGUUGCAGAUGCCUUAUCCCGCUUGCUUUCUAGGGCAGCAACUUAUGGGCACAUCUCUCCGGUUAGCUCUAAUCUUCUUCCCCAAGGGAUGACCCACCUUCAGUAUGCGGAUGACACUAUCAUUAUGGUUGAGCUGAAUGAUGCCUGCCUCGCCCAUCUCAAAUUUAUUCUCCUCUGCUUCGAGGCGAUGUCGGGCCUUAAGAUAAACUUUGCCAAGAGUGAAGUGAUUGUUACUGGUGUGGACGAGUCGGAAGCUGUGCGAGUGGCACAACUUCUUAAUUCUAAGCUAGGGUCUUUCCCUUUCAGAUAUUUGGGCCUUCCCAUAUCUCCGAACAUGCUUCAUGCGAAAGAAUUUGCCCCGGUGGUCACAAAGGUGGGCAACAGGGUCCUUCCCUGGCGUGGUAGGUAUAAUACCAAUGCGGGUAAAGUGGCUUUGAUCAAUGCUUGUCUGUCCUCCCUCCCCAUGUUCCUGAUGGGCUUCUACCUCUUAUCGGUUGGGACACAUGCUGGUUUUGAUAAACACCGUGGGGCGUUCUACUGGAACGCUGCUGAUAAUCGCCGUAAAUAUCGCUUUGUUAAAUGGAAGUUGAUGUGUAGGCCCAAAAACCUUGGGGGGUUAGGGAUUAUUAACACUUCCAUCAUGAACCAAUGUUUGUUGAUCAAAUGGUGGUGGAAGAUUAUGAGUGCUCAGGACCAGCCCCUUUGGCUAUCUAUUCUUAAGGCUAAAUAUUUCCCUUCCUCGAGCCCGAUGUUUGCUCACUCGCGGGGUGGCUCUUAG
rnacentral:rRNA from 1 species